UCUUCGGAGAGUUUGAUCAUGGCUCAGGACGAACGCUGGCGGCGUGCCUAAAACAUGCAAGUCGAACGAGGGUAGUAAUACCUUAGUGGCGAACGGCGGAGUAAUACAUAAGCAACGUGCCCCGAAGACUGGGAUAUACAGCCGAAAGGCUGGGCAAUACCGGAUGUGACGGAAGAUCGGCAUCGAUUUUCCAUUAAACAGUUUUUUGCUUCGGGAGCGGCUUAUGGCCUAUCAGGUAGUUGGUGAGGUAACGGCUCACCAAGCCGACGACGGGUAGCGGGUCUGAGAGGAUGGUCCGCUCGAGUGGGACUGAGACACGGCCCACACACCUACGGGUGGCAGCAGUUGGGAAUCUUGCACAAUGGGGGAAACCCUGAUGCAGCGACGCCGCGUGGAGGACGAAGGGUCUAGGCCUGUAAACUCCUUUUACUCGGAAAGACUUAGGACGGUACCGAGUGAAUAAGGACCGGCUAACUACGUGCCAGCAGCCGCGGUAAGACGUAGGGUCCAAGCGUUGUCCGGAUUUACUGGGCGUAAAGAGCGCGUAGGCGGCUCGUUAAGUGUAGAGUGAAAUCUCUGGGCUCACCCCAGAAACCGCUGUGCAUACUGGCGAGCUGGAGUGUCGGAGAGGUAUGUGGAAUUCCUGGUGUAGCGGUGAAAUGCGUUGAUAUCAGGAGGAACACCCAUGGCGAAGGCAGCAUACUGGCCGACCACUGACGCUGAGGCGCGAAAGCGUGGGUAGCAAACAGGAUUAGAUACCCUGGUAGUCCACGCCCUAAACGAUGGAUACUAGGCGUAAGGGGUAUCGACCCCCCUUGUGCCGCAGCUAACGCACUAAGUAUCCCGCCUGGGGAGUACGGCCGCAAGGUUGAAACUCAAAUGAAUUGACGGGGACCCGCACAAGCGGUGGAGCAUGUGGAUUAAUUCGAUACUAACCGAAGAACCUUACCCAGACUUGACAUCGAUUGAAAAGUCCAGAAAUGGGCUCCUCCCUCACAAGGGGACAUGAAGACACUUGUUGCAUGGCUGUCGUCAGCUCGUGCCGUGAGGUGUACGGUUAAGUCCGCCAACGAGCGCAACCCACGUCCUGUGUUACCAGCGAGAAAGUCGGGCACUCACAGGAGACCGCCGGUGUAAGCCGGAGGAAGGUGUGGAUGACGUCAAGUCAGCAUGGCAGUUACGUCUGGGGCUUCACACAUGCUACAAUGGGCGCAACAGAGGGCCGCGAUACCGCGAGGUGGAGCCAAUCCCAAAAAUACGCCCCCAGUUCAGAUUGCAGUCUGCAACUCGACUGCAUGAAGGCGGAAUCGCUAGUAAACGCAGGUCAGCUAUACUGCGUUGAAUACGUUCCCGGGUCUUGUACACACCGCCCGUCAAGUCACUUGAAUCGUCUUCACCCGAAGUCCGUGGCCUAACCCGCAAGGGAAGGAGCGGCCGAAGGUGAGGGGGGUAAGAGGGACUAAGUCGUAACAAGGUACCCGUACCGGAAGGUGUGGGUGGAUCACCUCCUUA
rfam:Fimbriimonas ginsengisoli Gsoil 348, complete genome.